rnacentral:rRNA from 1 species
AGUGAACGCUGGCGGUAGGCCUAACACAUGCAAGUCGAACGGCAGCACAGUAAGAGCUUGCUCUUACGGGUGGCGAGUGGCGGACGGUUGAGGAAUACAUCGGAAUCUACUUUUUCGUGGGGGAUAAUGUAGGGAAACUUACGCUAAUACCGCAUACGACCUACGGGUGAAAGCAGGGGAUCUUCGGACCUUGCGCGAUUGAAUGAGCCGAUGUCGGAUUAGCUAGUUGGCGGGGUAAAGGCCCACCAAGGCGACGAUCCGUAGCUGGUCUGAGAGGAUGAUCAGCCACACUGGAACUGAGACACGGUCCAGACUCCUACGGGAGGCAGCAGUGGGGAAUAUUGGACAAUGGGCGAAAGCCUGAUCCAGCCAUACCGCGUGGGUGAAGAAGGCCUUCGGGUUGUAAAGCCCUUUUGUUGGGAAAGAAGAGCAGAAGGUUAAUACCCCGCUGUUCUGACGGUACCGAAAGAAUAAGCACCGGCUAACUUCGUG